rnacentral:rRNA from 1 species
CUUGGUCAUUUAGAGGAAGUAAAAGUCGUAACAAGGUCUCCGUAGGUGAACCUGCGGAGGGAUCAUUACCGAGUUCAUGCCCACACGGGUAGAUCUCCCACCCUAUGUUAUCAUUACCUUUGUUGCUUUGGCGGGCCGCCAGGCUUCGGUCAGGCUACCGGCUCCGGCUGGUACGCGCCCGCCAGAGGACCCCAAACUCUGAAUGUUAGUGUCGUCUGAGUACUAUCUAAUAGUUAAAACUUUCAACAACGGAUCUCUUGGUUCUGGCAUCGAUGAAGAACGCAGCGAAAUGCGAUAAGUAAUGUGAAUUGCAGAAUUCAGUGAAUCAUCGAAUCUUUGAACGCACAUUGCGCCCCUUGGCAUUCCGAGGGGCAUGCCUGUUCGAGCGUCAUUACAACCCUCAAGCACUGCUUGGCAUUGGGCUCCGCUGCUAACCCAGCGGGCCUUAAAAUCAGUGGCGGCGCCCUCAGGCUCUGAGCGUAGUAAAUCUCCUCGCUAUAGAGUCCUGGUGGUGGUAGUCAUCAACCCCCAACUUUUCUUAAGUUUGACCUCGGAUCAGGUAGGGAUACCCGCUGAACUUAAGCAUAUCAAUAAGCGGAGGA